CUUAGGUAUGGUGAUAUGGUACCAAAGACCAUUGCUGGAAAGAUUUUUGGUUCCAUCUGCUCCUUGAGUGGUGUCUUAGUCAUUGCUCUGCCUGUUCCUGUGAUUGUCUCCAAC
rfam:Sarcophilus harrisii ctg7180001423478, whole genome shotgun sequence.